rnacentral:misc_RNA from 1 species
GAACUUACCCUUCGAAUCCUGAUGGACUGAACUCUGUCCUGUACAUGACAGGCAAAACUCAGAAAGAAUACGACCCACGAGCACAGAUGUGGCUCUUUCCUUUCGAUUCUCGACUUGGCUAGGAUUUUCUCUCCUCAUUUACCGUAUUACCGAUUGCACAAGUCAAAGAGGAGGAAAAAGAUUCAGAAUCCCAUCGAUUUUAAGAGCUUCCUCUCUUUUUCUUCAUCAUUUUUGGUAUGCACUUUUCUCCUGUUCAUAUUAAACUUGGAGGGUACGAAGAAAAUUUUCAAUUGAAAGAAUGGUUGGUAAAUUGUCCACUAGAUUACUGAACAUAUGCAUAGUAUCAUUUUGCAAAGCCAGGCAAUUAGAUAGGGCAGAAUCUGUCAUUGUUGACGCUAUAAGGUUAGGAGUACUUCCUAAUAUAGUUACUUAUAAUAAACUUAUUGAUGCCUACUCUUGUCUUGUUAGUUUUGAUUCUGCUUAUUCUCUUCUUCAGAGAAUGAGUGAAGCCAGAAUAAACCCAGAUGUGGUUUCCUACAAUUCUCUGAUAUCUGGUGCUACUAGAAAUUGCUUGUUAUCGAAAUCCCUUGACCUGUUUGAAGAAAUGCUUCAAAGGGGCAUAGCUCCUGAUAUUUGGAGUUUUAAUACAUUGAUGCAUUGCUUCUUUAAGGUGGGAAAACCUGAAGAAGCAAACCAGGUUUUCAUGGAUAUUAUUCGCCAUGGUUUAUCUCCAUGUCCAGCUACUUUUAAUAUUAUGAUUAAUGGUCUUUGCAAGAAUGGUUACACGAGUAAUGCACUUAUGUUGUUUCGAAGUUUACAGCGACAUGGAUUUGUUCCUCAAUUAAUCACUUAUAAUAUUCUUAUUAAUGGGUUGUGUAAAGCGGGGAGAUUGGGGGGUGCAAGGAGAAUGCUCAAAGAACUUGCUGCAUCUGGUUAUAUGCCAAAUGCCAUAACUUAUACCACUGUAAUGAAAUGCUGCUUUAGAUCUAGGCGUUUUGAUCAAGGGCUUGAGAUAUUGCAAGAGAUGAUUGAUAAUGGUUAUACUUUUGAUGGUUUUGCAUAUUGCACUGUUGUUGGUGCUUUAAUCAAGUGUGGUAGGAUUAAAGAGGCAACUGAUUAUAUGGAUCAGAUGAUGAGAAAUGGCAUUGAGCAUGAUUUAGUGUCUUAUAAUACACUAAUAAAUUUGUAUUGUAAAGAAGGUAAAUUGGAAGAAGCAUAUCAAUUGCUUGAUGAAAUAGAAGAAGGAGGUUUAGAAUGUGAUGAGUAUACACACACAAUUUUAAUAGAUGGGUUGUGCAAAGCAGGUAAUAUUGAGGGGGCCCAGCAACAUAUAAAGCAUAUGAAUGUGAUGGGUUUCAAUUUGCAUUUGGUUGCUUCAAAUUGUGUGGUUGAUGGGUUGUGCAAAGCUGGUCAGAUUGAUCAUGCUUUGAAGAUGUUUGAAUCAAUGGAGAAGAGGGACUCGUUUACCUACUCUUCCUUGGUCUACAAUCUUUGCAAGGCUAGAAGGUAUCAUUGUGCAUCCAAGUUGUUGCUUGGUUGUAUAAGCAGUGGCAUGAAAAUACUCCGAUCAUCUCAACGGGCUGUUAUAGAUGGUCUUCGUUAUUCUGGUUUUCAAAAAGAAGCAAGGAAGCUUAAAUCAAAAAUUCGAUUGGCUCAGAUGGUGCAGUUUUGAUGUUCCUAUAGCCCUUUUGAUGCAAUCUGGAGCUGAAGCAAUUCAAUUCAAUUAUUCUAGUGACCGUUCUUUUUGAAUUGAAAUCUUCAGUCAGCACCAUGUAAAUGUAAAUGCUCCAUGUUGUUGUAAAAAACUAGAGAUGCUUUAUGCUAAUAAGAUUUGUUAUGUUUAGACAUGGAUUGGAGGUACAGAAUCCAGGUUAAUGAAAAAUGACAGUAAUUUCAUUCCUAGGGAUGUACAUUGGGUUAUUUAAAACUGGAUAUUGAUUGGCAUUGAUCGUUUAGAGUGGAGAAAGCGAA